GUCACAGUUAGCCUGCUGAAUGCCUAUUGUGCAUAGCCUUCAACCAAUAGGGAUAAAGAUCUUUACUUUUAGCCUUCAUCCAUCCAUACCUUACUUUCAUCCCUCCAAAUAAGCUUCUUAGAGGUUUAGAACUUCAUCUUUGAAUCCCAAUCUUCUCCUUAAUUUUUAUACUAAAUAUUUAAAUUAUAUAUUUUUUAAAUACUACAAUGAACAUAGGUAAAUCUGAAAAUAAAUUUUCUUACAUCAACUCUCUUUAAAUUAACAUACUAACCAUUCUAAAAGUACAUCAAUAUUUAUAAAUAUAUUAUUUAAUUUAUUUAAUUUCUAUAUAUUAUAAAUAAUUAUAAUAUAGCAUCUAUCCCCUCCUCCCAAACCUACACACCCUCUAAUAUGUGCCAAUUUAACCAUGCUGUCUUCUUCAUCAUCUCCAUCUUUUUGUGCAUCUUCUAUUUAGUCCAAAUCUAAUGUUUCAAAAUCUAAAAGAUUGAUUGCAAUAAAUAUGCCAUCUCUUCUUUUGAAUGCCUUAAUUCACUUCUCAGCCACAAGUAUCUUCAACAUCAUACCAUCCAAUCUACGAAGCAAAUAGGUAGCAUUGUCAUGCAUUGCUACUAUUAUAUAUGGUCCAAACCUUCUUCAAGCAAACUUCCUAAGAGUACUAUAUUGAUGUUCCAAACUACUAUUAACCACUAACAUCCAAUCUCUAACUUCAAUUGAUUUGAACUUGAAACAAUGGUUUUGUCAAACCUCUCUUUGUUACGCAACUUAGCAGCCUUUAGUUUCUCUAAUGUCAUCUCUUGAACU
rnacentral:lncRNA from 1 species